UACGUAGGGUGCAAGCGUUAAUCGGAAUUACUGGGCGUAAAGCGUGCGUAGACGGUUAUUUAAGUCGGAUGUGAAAGCCCCGGGCUCAACCUGGGAAUUGCAUUCGAGACUGAAUAGCUAGGGUACGGUAGAGGGAAGUGGAAUUUCCGGUGUAGCGGUGAAAUGCGUAGAUAUCGGAAGGAACAUCAGUGGCGAAAGCGACUUCCUGGACCAGUACCGACGUUCAGGCACGAAAGCGUGGGGAGCAAACAGG
rnacentral:rRNA from 1 species